rfam:Picea glauca, whole genome shotgun sequence.
GGGUGCGAUCAUAUCACCAUUAAUGCGCUGUAUCCCAUUCGAACUCCGUAGUUAAGCGAGCUUGGGAUAGAGUAGUACUGGGAUGGGUGACCUCCUGGGAAGUCCUAGUGUUGCACCCU